rnacentral:tRNA from 1 species
AGGGUAAUAAUUUAAUAAAAAUACCUGAAUUGCAAUCAGGAUAUAUAUCUUCCUCAUUAUUUACCUUA